rnacentral:rRNA from 1 species
UGCAUAUCCAUAAGCGGAGGAAAAGAAACCAACUGGGAUUACCUUAGUAACGGCGAGUGAAGCGGUAAAAGCUCAAAUUUGAAAUCUGGUACUUUCAGUGCCCGAGUUGUAAUUUGUAGAAUUUGUCUUUGAUUAGGUCCUUGUCUAUGUUCCUUGGAACAGGACGUCAUAGAGGGUGAGAAUCCCGUUUGGCGAGGAUACCUUUUCUCUGUAAGACUUUUUCGAAGAGUCGAGUUGUUUGGGAAUGCAGCUCAAAGUGGGUGGUAAAUUCCAUCUAAAGCUAAAUAUUGGCGAGAGACCGAUAGCGAACAAGUACAGUGAUGGAAAGAUGAAAAGAACUUUGAAAAGAGAGUGAAAAAGUACGUGAAAUUGUUGAAAGGGAAGGGCAUUUGAUCAGACAUGGUGUUUUUUGCAUGCACUCGCCUCUCGUGGGCUUGGGCCUCUCAAAAAUUUCACUGGGCCAACAUCAAUUCUGGCAGCAGGAUAAAUCAUUAAGAAUGUAGCUACUUCGGUAGUGUUAUAGCUUUUUGGAAUACUGUUAGCCGGGAUUGAGGACUGCGCUUCGGCAAGGAUGUUGGCAUAAUGGUUAAAUGCCGCCCGUCUUAA